rnacentral:rRNA from 1 species
UGGGGAAUUUUGGACAAUGGGGGAAACCCUGAUCCAGCCAUCCCGCGUGUGCGAUGAAGGCCUUCGGGUUGUAAAGCACUUUUUGCAGGAAAGAAACGUCAUGGGUUAAUACCCCGUGAAACUGACGGUACCUGCAGAAUAAGCACCGGCUAACUACGUGCCAGCAGCCGCGGUAAUACGUAGGGUGCAAGCGUUAAUCGGAAUUACUGGGCGUAAAGCGUGCGCAGGCGGUUCGGAAAGAAAGAUGUGAAAUCCCAGAGCUCAACUUUGGAUCUGCAUUUUUAACUACCGGGCUAGAGUGUGUCAGAGGGAGGUGGAAUUCCGCGUGUAGCAGUGAAAUGCGUAGAUAUGCGGAGGAACACCGAUGGCGAAGGCAGCCUCCUGGGAUAACACUGACGCUCAUGCACGAAAGCGUGGGGAGCAAACAGG